AAAUUGAAGAGUUUGAUCAUGGCUCAGAUUGAACGCUGGCGGCAGGCCUAACACAUGCAAGUCGAACGGUAACAGGAAGCAGCUUGCUGCUUUGCUGACGAGUGGCGGACGGGUGAGUAAUGUCUGGGAAACUGCCUGAUGGAGGGGGAUAACUACUGGAAACGGUGGCUAAUACCGCAUAACGUCGCAAGACCAAAGAGGGGGACCUUCGGGCCUCUUGCCAUCAGAUGUGCCCAGAUGGGAUUAGCUUGUUGGUGAGGUAACGGCUCACCAAGGCGACGAUCCCUAGCUGGUCUGAGAGGAUGACCAGCCACACUGGAACUGAGACACGGUCCAGACUCCUACGGGAGGCAGCAGUGGGGAAUAUUGCACAAUGGGCGCAAGCCUGAUGCAGCCAUGCCGCGUGUAUGAAGAAGGCCUUCGGGUUGUAAAGUACUUUCAGCGGGGAGGAAGGUGUUGUGGUUAAUAACCGCAGCAAUUGACGUUACCCGCAGAAGAAGCACCGGCUAACUCCGUGCCAGCAGCCGCGGUAAUACGGAGGGUGCAAGCGUUAAUCGGAAUUACUGGGCGUAAAGCGCACGCAGGCGGUCUGUCAAGUCGGAUGUGAAAUCCCCGGGCUCAACCUGGGAACUGCAUUCGAAACUGGCAGGCUUGAGUCUUGUAGAGGGGGGUAGAAUUCCAGGUGUAGCGGUGAAAUGCGUAGAGAUCUGGAGGAAUACCGGUGGCGAAGGCGGCCCCCUGGACAAAGACUGACGCUCAGGUGCGAAAGCGUGGGGAGCAAACAGGAUUAGAUACCCUGGUAGUCCACGCCGUAAACGAUGUCUACUUGGAGGUUGUGCCCUUGAGGCGUGGCUUCCGGAGCUAACGCGUUAAGUAGACCGCCUGGGGAGUACGGCCGCAAGGUUAAAACUCAAAUGAAUUGACGGGGGCCCGCACAAGCGGUGGAGCAUGUGGUUUAAUUCGAUGCAACGCGAAGAACCUUACCUGGUCUUGACAUCCACAGAACUUUCCAGAGAUGGAUUGGUGCCUUCGGGAACUGUGAGACAGGUGCUGCAUGGCUGUCGUCAGCUCGUGUUGUGAAAUGUUGGGUUAAGUCCCGCAACGAGCGCAACCCUUAUCCUUUGUUGCCAGCGAUUAGGUCGGGAACUCAAAGGAGACUGCCAGUGAUAAACUGGAGGAAGGUGGGGAUGACGUCAAGUCAUCAUGGCCCUUACGACCAGGGCUACACACGUGCUACAAUGGCGCAUACAAAGAGAAGCGACCUCGCGAGAGCAAGCGGACCUCAUAAAGUGCGUCGUAGUCCGGAUUGGAGUCUGCAACUCGACUCCAUGAAGUCGGAAUCGCUAGUAAUCGUGGAUCAGAAUGCCACGGUGAAUACGUUCCCGGGCCUUGUACACACCGCCCGUCACACCAUGGGAGUGGGUUGCAAAAGAAGUAGGUAGCUUAACCUUCGGGAGGGCGCUUACCACUUUGUGAUUCAUGACUGGGGUGAAGUCGUAACAAGGUAACCGUAGGGGAACCUGCGGUUGGAUCACCUCCUUACCUGAAAGAAGC
rnacentral:rRNA from 4 species